CAUAAUAUUCAGCAGUACAUAAAUUUUCCUGUAUGCUUCUCCAGAUGCAUAUCAUGCCAUCCAAAACUAAAAACUUUUAGUCAGAAGAAAACCUGUAUACUUGUUGACAUCCAUAUUACAUCCCAUGAGAUAACAAGAACAUUCAAGGACCAAAGAUAUCAUUUAAAGAUUGAGUUAAUCAUUUACUUUAAAGCAAAAUGUCUGUUAUCAUUGGGCAAAGACUGCUAAAAUUGGUGAAAAACACAUUAUUUCCCACUCAAACAUUCAAAUAGUUCUACCUAUGAACAUAAACAUAUAGAGCAGUGACACCUCUUCCUACUGUUCCAUUCCUAAGACAUGGCUUACAGACAAGUAGCAGACAAAGAGAGACUUGAUCUCUUACAUAGGCUACAGUUGUCUCCACAGUCCAAGACACCAGACAUUGUGCUGGAA